CCUACGGGAGGCAGCAGUGAGGAAUAUUGGUCAAUGGGCGCUAGCCUGAACCAGCCAAGUAGCGUGAAGGAUGACUGCCCUAUGGGUUGUAAACUUCUUUUAUAUGGGAAUAAAGUGCAGUAUGUAUACUGCUUUGCAUGUACCUUAUGAAUAAGGAUCGGCUAACUCCGUGCCAGCAGCCGCGGUAAUACGGAGGAUCCGAGCGUUAUCCGGAUUUAUUGGGUUUAAAGGGAGCGUAGAUGGGUUGUUAAGUCAGUUGUGAAAGUUUGCGGCUCAACCGUAAAAUUGCAAUUGAUACUGGCAGUCUUGAGUACAGUUGAGGUAGGCGGAAUUCGUGGUGUAGCGGUGAAAUGCUUAGAUAUCACGAAGAACUCCGAUUGCGAAGGCAGCUUACUAAACUGCCACUGACAUUGAUGCUCGAAAGUGUGGGUAUCAAACAGGAUUAGAUACCCGAGUAGUC
rnacentral:rRNA from 1 species